ensembl:lncRNA
AAUCGUAAUACAUGGUCUCCCCAUAGCCCGCGGUGUAGGGAGUGACACGGCUCCGUACUGCUCGUGUAAUAGGGCUCGGUUAAAGUCAGCCACUUUUCGCCGGCGAUUACCGGAACACUCUUUAGACCAUGCCCUUCCUUCCCGACGGUUAGCAGCCGUCUUGUCUCCCAUCCCGGGCGCGGUCCUGAGCCGACUGGUGGACAACUGCACGCGCAUCCGCUUGCCUUGAAGAAACAGACGCAAAAGGGAGGUGGGAAUUAACGCCUGGCACCCAAAGACGGGGACCAAAAUCCAACAAGGGGGAUCCUCAACGUCCUCCGAGAGAAACGAACCCGGCCGGGCAGCAGGGAAGCGGAGCCGGCUCACAGCCUCGCGAUGCAUUGCAAAUUCCCCCCCUCCACACACCCGGUUUCCUCCUUUUUCGCCCCGUUUUGCAGCCUGGUUGAGGAAGGGUGAGGCACCGAACUGCAAUGUGGGGUUUUUGGCACUGAAAUGGGCCCAAAAGCAGAGGAAAUGGCCCCAAAUUUGGGGCUAAAAAGGGCUCAGUGUCUCUGUGCGGCUCAGCACGCGGGGGAAAUGGCACCAAAAGGCCUUAAAUUGGGGUUGGAGGAGUCAAAGUGCUCUAGACUGGGGUUGGAGGACCUCCAAUGUGUCUCACACUGGGGUUGGAGGACCCAAAGUGCCCCAAAUUGGGGUUGGAGGACAAAAAGUGCCCCAAAUUGGGAUUGGUGGACCUCCAAUGUGUCUCGCAUUGGGGUUGGAGGACCAAAGUGCUCCAGAUUGGGGUUGGAGGAUCUCCAAUGUGUCUCACAUUGGGGUUGGAGGACCCAAAGUGCCCCAAAUUGGGGUUGGAGGACACAAAGUGCCCCAAAUUGGGGUUGGAGAACCUCCAACGUGUCUCAUGAUAGGGCUGGAGACCCCAAAGUGCUCCAGAUUGGGGUUGGAGGACACAAAGUGCCCCAAAUUGGGGUUGGAGGUCCUCCAAUGUGUCUCGCGUUGGGGUUGGAGGACCAAAGUGCUCCAGAUUGUGGUUGGAGGUCCCCCAAACUGCCCCAAAUUGGGGCUGAAGGCCCAAGAAUGACUCAACUUGGGGUCAGAGGUCACCAAUUUGGGGUUGGAAGGAACUAAAAGUGACUACAAAUGUCAGCAGACGGAGGAGGAAAGGCACCAAAUUGCCUCAAGUUUGGGUUAGAGAUACCAAAGUGCCCCACAUUUUUGUUAGCGCUGCUACGAGUCUCAACUAACCCAAGGAAAAGCACCAAAACACCCCAAAUAUGUGCUGGAACCGACCAAAACACCCCAAAUAUGGGCUGGAACCGACCAAAAUACCCCAAAUAUGGGCUGGAAAGCACCAAAACACCCCAAAUAUGGGCUGGAAAGGACCAAAACACCCCAAAUAUGGGCUGGAAACGACCAAUACACCCCAAAUUUGGCCUGGAAACAGCUGAGCAUUCCUUCUAAACCUCAACAACCAACACAAAGUGCCCCAAAAUGCCCCAGAUUUAGGAUAAAGACACCAAAAUGCCCCAAAUCUUGGAGAUAUUGGCACAAAUAUUCCCAAUAUUUGGGAUAAAAACACCCAAAUGCCCAGAAUUUGGGCCACGUGGGCAAGAAUAUUCAUGAUACCUGGGAGAAAGGCACCCCAAUGCCCCAGAUUCUGGGGAUAAAGGCAUCAAAACAUCCUCGAUUUGGGGAUAAAAGCAUAAAAAUGCCCCUAAAUGCGGGAUAAAAGCACCAGAACAGCCCAAAUAUCGCACAUAAAGGCACCAAAACCCCUAGAUUUUGGAGAUACAGCUACUAAUAUCUCUAAUUUAGGAUAAAGGCACCAAAAUGCCCCAUGUUUUGGGCAGGAAGGCAACAAGAUACCCCAGAUCUGGGGACAAAGGCACCAAAAUACCCCAGAUUUGGGAUAGAACAGCAUUAAAAUACUCUGGAUUUGGGGACAUAGGCACCAAAAUGCUCCUGAUUCAGGAACAUGGGCACCAAAAUGCUCCGGAUUUGGACACAGAGGCACAAAAACAGCCCAGAUUAGGGACCAAAGGGACCAAUAACCUCAUAUUUCAGACAUCAAUGCACUGAAACACCUCGGAUUUGGGGACCUGGGCACCAAAAUGCUUUGGAUUUGGGG